rnacentral:lncRNA from 1 species
UUCAUGCUUAAACUGGAUUUUAAGAUCUGGCUGAAAAUUUCACUACAUGUCAUAUCACUAGAGUUAACACAAAAUGUACUAUGUAAAGAAAACAAACAAACAACACAUAUUUAAAACACAAAGGAAAAUGAGACACUUCAUUUAGUCAAAACAAAAGAUAGAAGGGUUUGAACAUAAACAACAAAAGGACAAAACAAGACCGAUCCCGAACUACAACCCUGAAAUAAUUCGGAGAAUAGAAAAUAAAACAAAA